rnacentral:rRNA from 1 species
GUCUACGGCUAUACCACCCUGAACACGCCCGAUCUCGUCUGAUCUCGGGAGCUAAGCAGGGUCGGGCUUGGUUAGUACUUGGCUAGGAGGAGACUUUCUGUGAAAGAAGUUGUCUCAAUAC